rnacentral:rRNA from 1 species
GACGAACGCUGGCGGCGUGCCUAAUACAUGCAAGUAGAACGCUGAAGGAGGAGCUUGCUUCUCUGGAUGAGUUGCGAACGGGUGAGUAACGCGUAGGUAACCUGCCUAGUAGUGGGGGGUAGCUCGGGGAAACUCGAAUUAAUACCGCAUACGACCUACGGGUGAAAGGGGGCGCAAGCUCUUGCUAUUAGAUGAGCCUAAAUCAGAUUAGCUAGUUGGUGGGGUAAAGGCCCACCAAGGCGACGAUCUGUAACUGGUCUGAGAGGAUGAUCAGUCACACCGGAACUGAGACACGGUCCGGACUCCUACGGGAGGCAGCAGUGGGGAAUAUUGGACAAUGGGGGCAACCCUGAUCCAGCCAUGCCGCGUGUGUGAAGAAGGCCUUUUGGUUGUAAAGCACUUUAAGCAGGGAGGAGAGGCUAAUGGUUAAUACCCAUUAGAUUAGACGUUACCUGCAGAAUAAGCACCGGCUAACUCUGUGCCAGCAGCCGCGGUAAUACAGAGGGUGCGAGCGUUAAUCGGAAUUACUGGGCGUAAAGCGAGUGUAGGUGGCUCAUUAAGUCACAUGUGAAAUCCCCGGGCUUAACCUGGGAACUGCAUGUGAUACUGGUGGUGCUAGAAUAUGUGAGAGGGAAGUAGAAUUCCAGGUGUAGCGGUGAAAUGCGUAGAGAUCUGGAGGAAUACCGAUGGCGAAGGCAGCUUCCUGGCAUAAUAUUGACACUGAGAUUCGAAAGCGUGGGUAGCAAACAGGAUUAGAUACCCUGGUAGUCCACGCCGUAAACGAUGUCUACUAGCCGUUGGGGUCCUUGAGACUUUAGUGGCGCAGUUAACGCGAUAAGUAGACCGCCUGGGGAGUACGGCCGCAAGGUUAAAACUCAAAUGAAUUGACGGGGGCCCGCACAAGCGGUGGAGCAUGUGGUUUAAUUCGAUGCAACGCGAAGAACCUUACCUGGUCUUGACAUAGUGAGAAUCCUGCAGAGAUGCGGGAGUGCCUUCGGGAAUUCACAUACAGGUGCUGCAUGGCUGUCGUCAGCUCGUGUCGUGAGAUGUUGGGUUAAGUCCCGCAACGAGCGCAACCCUUUUCCUUAUUUGCCAGCGGGUUAAGCCGGGGACUUUAAGGAUACUGCCAGUGACAAACUGGAGGAAGGCGGGGACGACGUCAAGUCAUCAUGGCCCUUACGACCAGGGCUACACACGUGCUACAAUGGUAGGUACAGAGGGUUGCUACACAGCGAUGUGAUGCUAAUCUCAAAAAGCCUAUCGUAGUCCGGAUUGGAGUCUGCAACUCGACUCCAUGAAGUCGGAAUCGCUAGUAAUCGCAGAUCAGAAUGCUGCGGUGAAUACGUUCCCGGGCCU